rnacentral:rRNA from 1 species
AGUGAACGCUGGCGGUAGGCCUAACACAUGCAAGUCGAACGGCAGCACAGUAAGAGCUUGCUCUUACGGGUGGCGAGUGGCGGACGGGUGAGGAAUACAUCGGAAUCUACUUUUUCGUGGGGGAUAACGUAGGGAAACUUACGCUAAUACCGCAUACGACCUCCGGGUGAAAGCAGGGAAUCUUCGGACCUUGCGCGAUUGAAUGAGCCGAUGACGGAUUAGCUAGUUGGCGGGGUAAAGGCCCACCAAGGCGACGAUCCGUAGCUGGUCUGAGAGGAUGGUCAGACACCCUGGCGCUGAGGCUCGGUCCACACUCCUGCGGUAGGCAGCAGUGGGGAAUCUUGGACGAUGGGCGCAAGCCUGAUCCAGCCCUACCGCGUGGGUGAAGAAGGCGUUCGGGUUGUUAAGCCCUUUUGUUGGGAAAGAAGAGCAGCAGGUUAAUACCCCGCUGUUCUGACGGUACCCGGAGAAUAAGCACCGGCUAACUUCGUG